rnacentral:rRNA from 1 species
CGCGUAGGCGGUUGGAUAAGUCAGCUGUGAAAACCACGAGCUCAACUUGUGGCCUGCAGUUGAGACUGUCUGGCUAGAGUGUGGGAGAGGGAAGUGGAAUUCCUGGUGUAGCGGUGAAAUGCGUAGAUAUCAGGAGGAACACCGGUGGCGAAGGCGGCUUCCUGGACCACAACUGACGCUGAGGCGCGAAAGCUAGGGGAGCAAACA